CUGUCAGUAGGAUUAAGAUUUGUAAACAUAUACCACACAUUUCCAGGAACUGUGUUAACAGAGCAACAGGUAGCAGCAGAAGGCCAUUAUCCUUCAUGGGGAACAGUCACUAAGGAGGGAAAGACACACUGUUUGGCAAUGUGCUUUACAUUGAUGGAUAUAGAGUAAUGUGGAUCAUUUUCAAAAAGAAGGACUGAGAGAGACCUCCAGUCCAGUAUCUUUUCCAGCCUGGCAUUUGAAUUGGGGGUUGGGAGAGAAAAGCAGCUUCAAGUACCCUAAGUCAGAGAAAGAAAUUGGACACAGAAUGUUUCCUUUACCUUGUGGAAUACCAUUAGAAGUCUCUGUACAAAGGCAAAAGCUGUGGUUGCUAUAGCAAUAACCAAUCUGAUGAAGCUGUGACCUAAAUCAUGACUGAGGAAAAUAGUACCUUGUCUAUAUCACUGCAGUUACUGCUUCUUUGGAUUAUGCGAUCAGUAUACACAAUUUAUUACCUAAAAUGAACUCUUUAACUCCAGUACAUGAGAAAAGUAAAGUGAUACUUCCCUUACUAUAGACCUUGAAAAGAGCAUGGACAGCUUAAAUCGAUGCUAAAGUUUAGAUAUGGGCAGAAAUUCUGUUCUUGGUGUCUUGAUACCCCAUCCCUGCAGGGAGUUCCUGGAGCGUCAGUCUGUUUCCUGGAAGUCCAGACUUUGGCCCUAGAUUAUUGAAACCUCCGUAAAUCAAGUCACUGAGAAUUGAUAGUAGACAGCACUGACACAUACUGACCAUGUCAGUACUGUCUAUCUGCUCACGUUUAACUUCCUAAACUCUUAGAGGUGUCGCCUAUUCCAGUGUUAAGCAUGGAGUGCAAACUCUUGCAGACUUUUCAUGUUGGUUUCUCUUUGGUGGUUAUAACGUUUGGUGGGGCCAUCCUAAAAUAUUCCUUAAGAUGAUAAACAUGAGCUCUUCAACAGUUUUUAAAAUCUCUCUAGCCAGUACUUGAAUCCCUUGUGCGAUAAAACUCAUAUUUAUUUGGUAAUUUUCUCACCAGCCUUGCUUUGAGUCAUGAGAAUGGGUUGUAAUCGAUGUAUAAUACAUAUUAUUAAAAUUUCAGGAUGACUGUAAACACGGAGUUACCCACUCACAUAAUGUCACCCAUAUAGUGCAAUAUAUCAAAUAUGGGCAAGUAUUAUCAAGUACAUGAUACCAGUAUGCUGGGUGGUUCUUAAAAUAGUAGAAUGGUCUGACCUCUGCCAAACCAGCUCUAGGA